CAGCCGCCACGGUAAUACGUAGGUGGCAAGCGUUGUCCGGAAUUAUUGGGCGUAAAGCGAGUGCAGGCGGUUAGAUAAGUCUGAAGUUAAAGGCUGUGGCUUAACCAUAGUACGCUUUGGAAACUGUUUAACUUGGGUGCAAGAGGGGAGAGUGGAAUCCCAUGUGUAGCGGUGAAAUGCGUGGAUAUAUGGAGGAACACCGGUGGCGAAAGCGGCUCUCUGGCUUGUAACUGACGCUGAGGCUCGAAAGCGUGGGGAGCAAACAGGAUUAGAUACCCCCGUAGUCCCUGUCUCUUAUACA
rnacentral:rRNA from 1 species